UAAAAAUCCUAAAACUGUUUUAUAUUAUUUUCCUCUAGAAAUUCUACUUGUAUGAAUUCAGUGCAAAAAUCCUUACUCGAGUCCAUUAAAAUAUAUAUAGAAGGAAAUUCACCUCUGGGGUGGCAAUGAUUCACUUAACAUACAUCCAGCUAUUGAAAGUGAUGAUGCCAGGAUAUAUUUCUGCCAUAGAAACAUGCUUAAAAUAUAGUGCUAAAGGAAAUACAACAUGUAUUCAUUAGGUGGAUGUCCACUCAACCACGGAUUCACGCACUGCAGUCCUUAGACCCUCAGCAUCAGCAACACGUGGGAACUUGUUAGACAUGCAAAUUCCUGGGCCAGCCCCACACCUCCUGAAUCAGAAAGUGGGGAAGAAGGACAACUAUCUGUGCUUUAAUAAGCCUUGAGAUGCUCCCUGAAGUUUGAAAACUACAGAACUAGAAUACAUAUGGUAAGGAAGGAAGUCAAAGAUGUUUGAAGCAUGAGGGGAAUGAGUCCCUGCUUCUCAGGACAUGAAAAGCAAUCUUGCUGGCCACCAAGAGAAAGUAAACAGGUAUGCAGUAAACUGUCAACGAAGAAAAAGGACAGAUUCCUGAAGCUGAGAGUGAACCCCAGCCAAAUACCAGCAAGAAAGUGAGGAUGUCAAAGACUGCAAGAAAAUGAAUUCUCUCAAGAAUCAGCGAGCUUGGAAGAGAACCUCAAGCCUCAACUGAGAAUCUCAGCACCAGCCAACACGUUGACAUCAAGUAUGUGAGUUGUGAGCAGAGGAUUCAGUUAUACCAAGCCCAGACUCCUGACCCAUGGAAACUGUCAGAUUAAUAAACAAGCACUGCCUUAAAUCAUGGAGUCCGUGGUAAUUUUCAACUUCCAAAACACAAAGACAAGGUAACAACAUUCAUCUGCUUUAGCCAUAUUUCCCUUUGCUUCUGCCCUUGUGGUCGCACGUCUUUUAAUUCUUUUAUUCUCAUUUGAGUGCAGUAUCAGAAAAGAGCAUGUUCAACCAGAAGAUGACCGCUAUGAUUUCCUCGACUGGAAAUCCUCCUCCAUCUGUUCU